CGAAAGCCUGACGGAGCAACGCCGCGUGAGGGAGGAAGGCCCUUGGGUUGUAAACCUCUUUUGAUGGGGAAGAAUUCUGACGGUACCCAUCGAAUCAGCAUCGGCUAACUCCGUGCCAGCAGCCGCGGUAAUACGGAGGAUGCAAGCGUUAUCCGGAAUUAUUGGGCGUAAAGCGUCCGCAGGUGGCUUUUCAAGUCGGCUGUCAAAGCAUGGAGCUUAACUCCAUAGAGGCGGUGGAAACUGAAAGGCUAGAGGCCGGUAGGGGUAGUGGGAAUUCCCAGUGUAGCGGUGAAAUGCGUAGAGAUUGGGAAGAACAUCGGUGGCGAAAGCGCACUACUGGGCAGGACCUGACACUGAGGGACGAAAGCUAGGGGAGCGAAAGGGAUUAGAUACCCCUGUAGUCCUAGCCGUAAACGAUGGAGACUAGGCGUAGCUUGUAUCGACCCGAGCUGUGCCGAAGCUAACGCGUUAAGUCUCCCGCCUGGGGAGUACGCACGCAAGUGUGAAACUCAAAGGAAUUGACGGGGGCCCGCACAAGCGGUGGAGUAUGUGGUUUAAUUCGAUGCAACGCGAAGAACCUUACCAGGGCUUGACAUCUGUAGAACCUGAGUGAAAGCUUGGGGUGCCUUCGGGAGCUACAAGACAGGUGGUGCAUGGCUGUCGUCAGCUCGUGUCGUGAGAUGUUGGGUUAAGUCCCGCAACGAGCGCAACCCUCGUUCUUAGUUGCCAGCAUUAAGUUGGGCACUCUAGGGAGUCUGCCGGUGACAAACCGGAGGAAGGUGGGGAUGACGUCAAGUCAGCAUGCCCCUUACGUCCUGGGCAACACACGUACUACAAUGGUCGAGACAGAGGGCAGCGACCUCGCAAGAGCAAGCGAAUCUCAUCAAACUCGGCCUCAGUUCAGAUUGCAGGCUGCAACUCGCCUGCAUGAAGGAGGAAUCGCUAGUAAUCGCCGGUCAGCAUACGGCGGUGAAUUCGUUCCCGGGCCUUGUACACACCGCCCGUCACACCAUGGGAGCUGGCCACGCCCGAAGUCGUUACCCUAACCCCGAAAGGGGAGGGGGAUGCCGAAGGCAGGGCUAGUGACUGGGGUGAAGUCGUAACAAGGUAGCCGUACCGGAAGGUGUGGCUGGAUCACCUCCUUUACAGGGAGACCAACAUCAGAGUUAACUCUUGAAUUUUUACGGUUAACUCUUGUGACAUCCCAAGGUCGAGCGAGUUUGGAUGAAAGGCUUUCAAACUUAUCGGGUUCUUUGACUUGCACACAAGUCAAGUGAAGCCCGCCCAAUUAACUCUAGUAGAGUUAUGGCUAUUGAUUUUUUAAAUAAAAAAUGAUAGAUUAGAUAGUCUGGGUAAAACUAAAAAAACACCAGGUUGAUCAAAUCAUAAAAGUUCUAGCAACUUAUCUAGUCGAAUAGCAUUCACUAGAGAGUCUGCUGGAAACUUAUUCCAGACAGAACCUUGAAAACUGCAUAGCAACGAAAUUAGGUAGUAAGGGAUUAGCUUAUCACUAAACUAAUCUCUUAUCACAGACAUCAAUGUAAGUAAUGUGGUCAAGCUAGAAAGAGCUAACGGUGGAUACCUAGGCACACAGAG
rnacentral:misc_RNA from 1 species